GAGAUCUAUUUGGCCCUGCCUUCCAAGUGCUGGGAUUAAAGAAACAGGACUUUUAAGGAAGUGUGCUAGCCAGGCACCAUGCCAAGAUGGACAUCUGCUUUUAAUGCCUCGUGUCAAGUUCAUAGUCGACACCCACCCAGAGUUUGUAGGACCUGUGGACACCAUUUGAGUUGGCUCCUCAGCACCCUGGUGAAGCAGAAGCCCCAUGCAGCAGAGGAUGUGUUCCAUUCCAUUGGCGAGAAUUUUGUGCAACUGGUGGAGAAGUGCUGCGGUGCACAGAGGAGAGACGUGUGUUUUCAAGAAGAGGGACCUCAACUGAUCACGAAGUGCCAGUCCCUCUUAGAGGCCAGCUCAUCCCAGAGCGGGUUGAUGUAGGAUCAUGGCUGAGAUCAGCGCUGUGGAAGGGGGCAGCUGACAGAGAGCCUUCGCAUUGGCUCAGCGCUGUUGCAGAACACUGGCCGGUCCACACCACCUUCCCUUUCCCCUCAGCAGAUGCCAUACGGACUCCCAGAUCAGCCCCGCUCAGAGCUCUCCCACCUCACGGCCUGCCUCUCAAGGGCAGAGACAAGAACCUAAAGAACAUUCAAGGCCUCCAGACAGUUUAAUGUGCGGCCACACUUCUCUGGGAACUGCUGCUGGGCCCCACAGUGGAGGCUUCAAGGUUGACAUGGAGCAGUCUGUACCACUUCUAAGAGGGAAAGGCACAAAUAAAGUUAUCUUCAUGCCUGGGCUCUGGCUCCUGGCUCUCCUGGGUGUAUUCAAAGCUGACUUUGCCAGCAAUGGCACCCAACACAUU
rnacentral:lncRNA from 1 species